rnacentral:sRNA from 1 species
AGGGACGGCCCUCGUGGGUCGUUUCCUCCCUGACUGGCCCAGCCUCGCUCACAUGGGGCGCGCCCUUUUUUUGUUACGC